GAGUACCGCCAAGUAGUACUCGAUAAGGAACCAUCUAAAGUUUUAAUAAUUAUUAAAUGACCAUUAAAUCAUAAUUAAAUACGAGAAGCAGUAACAAUGUAAAAUAGUAGCGAAAAUGUUAUAGGAAAUUUUGAAAAUACAAUUAAAAUGAUGGGCCGGUGCUAGAUCAUAUAAUAGGCAAACAUGCAGUGGUUUAUGUACUUGGCCAUAAUAAUAUGAUUUCAAUACUUUUCGUUAAAGAACAUCACAGCACUCCUGUACCUGGCGUAGUUUUUUACACGUAAGAGUUUUUUUGGGGGUAUGUUUUACCCACAGACUACUAGACCGCUAGCUUCCAGUAUCCUGCCAUUGAGAAAAGUGAGGCAAAUUUUUUGAAGUGGUGGGGACUGGCCGCCAUCUUUUGUAGGGCGGAUUUGUGAGUGGGUUAGUAUAUCGGUGUGACACCCGACAUUAUUCAGUGGGGUAAUUUCGUCGCAUUGGCAUUUUAAUGCUAUUUUAGAAAUGUUACCGCAAAUUGGAUAAAAAAUGCCGAUGUCAUGCAGCGUGAAAGAUUGCAAAAGUCGCUACAAAGCAGGUCCUUCAUUCGUUUUUUUGGCUUUCCAUUCAAAGAUAGUCAUUGACUUGAGUGCUGUAUCAAAGCUGUUGGAAGAGAGAAUUGGAAAGCUAUUCCAACAAGCAAAAUUUGCAGCUUGCAUUUCCUGAGUACUGACUUUCUUACUGAAUUGGGCUACCAUAAUACUCAGUUGUGAUCAAAUGCAGUUCCAACACUACUUCUUAAUAAUAGUCAUAACAAGGAAAAUAUGCAGCUACUAAACGUAAUGAGUACACAAGAUAGAACAGAAGAAAAUAGAACUGGAGAUGUACAAUUGACAGGAUCUUCCAAUAAGCAAGUUUUUGCAGAGAAAUGUAGGAAUACUUCUGUAAUUGCAGCAGAGAAACGUUUACCAGAGAAUGGCACCAGUGUUAAUGCCACUUGCUUCAAGUUCUAUGAGAAGUGUUGAGCUGAAACAACAGUGCGAAAGUCCUCCAGUAAAUCUAACAACCUCUACAAAGCGAGCUCGUGACGAAGAAGGAGCAGAUGCUUCUGCAGUUCAUAAGAAAAGAAAAGUAAUGUUCCCUGAUGGAACCUGUGUUAUGAUGCCACUUCAAUCAAGUUCCAGUGAAACCUCCUCUGAAGAAAAUACUGCAGCAGAGACUAAAAUUAAACAAUUAACAGAGAAUAAUAAAGAACUGGCACGUAAAGUAAAAAGUUUGAAGCAAGUUGUAAGAAGACGCGACUGGAAAAUAAAGAAUAUGACGGAAUUAUUUGAAACGUUGAAGCAAAAAAACUUAAUUGAUGAUGAUCUUUUAAUAAUGCUGAACAAUCAAUUCAAUGGAACUCCCCUGGCAAUAUUUACAAACGAAGUAAGAAACGAAAACCGGAAGACGUUACAAGAAUGAACUAACAGAGUUUGCUCUUUCCUUGUACUAUAAUUCUCCAAAAGCUUACAGUUUUUGUCGGAACAUUUUAAAGCUACCUCAUUCCUCCUCAAUCAGAAAUUGGAUGUCCAUUAAUGCGGAACCUGGAUUUCAAGGCGAUAUUUUCACUGAGUUUAAUAAACUUCUCUUGCAAGAUCGUGAUUGCAACCUCGUCCUAGAUGGAAUGGCUAUAAGGAAACAAUUGAUAUGGGAUCAGCAAAAGUACUGUUACGUAGGGUAUUGCGAUUACGGUAAUUCAGUUCGUUUGGAAGGCGCGGAAACCGAGUUACGUGACAAAACUGGACGUCUCUCGUGCACAAGCCCAAAAAGAGCCUUCAUAUAUGGAUUUGUUGUUACCUCAAAAUCUAUAAUUGCAGUAGCAGAAAUACUGUUUAACGGAAAUUCAAUGUAUAAGUACAUACUUACAAGUUCUCUCAGGAUCAUAUAGAACUAUUAUUCGCUAGAAUCAGGGGCAGAUUUGGUUGGAAUAACAAUCCGAAUGUGAUGCAAUUCAAGUACGCGAUGAAACAAAUCUUAAUGAAGAAUAGUCUUACAGCAUUGAAAUCAGGAAAUUGCAUCCCAUUAGACAGUGAUCCAAUCGGAUCUAUCUUCUCAUUGCAAUGGAAAAAGAAAGAUAAAGAAAUCUAUUUCCGGAGUGAAUCAGAAAAAUUCAAAGUUUUGGAAAGCAGUUUGGAAGAAGUCAGAAAACUGAAUAACAGUGGUCUAUGUCAGCUACACGGAGACUUAAAGGACAAUAUCCUGUAUUAUACAGGGUGAAUCACGAAUCAUGAUCAGUAGAGAUUACUUUGUUAUUAGCAGUCCGAUCGAAAAUCUUUUUAUCAGCUUUUGCAUGGUUUCAAGAGAGCUUUAACGUGAUAGUGAAAAA